rnacentral:rRNA from 1 species
AUUGAACGCUGGCGGCAGGCCUAACACAUGCAAGUCGAGCGGAGCGGCGGACGGGUGAGUAAUGCUUAGGAAUCUGCCUGGUAGUGGGGGAUAACGUCCGGAAACGGGCGCUAAUACCGCAUACUAUCAGAUGAGCCUAGGUCGGAUUGGCUAGUUGGUGGGGUAAAGGCCUACAAAGGCGACGAUCCGUACCUGGUCUGAGAGGAUGAUCAGUCAGAUUGGAACUGAGACACGGUCCAGCCUCCUACGGAAGGCAGCGGGGGGGAAUAUUGGAAAAUGGGCGAAAGCCUGAGCCGGCCAUGCCGCGUGUGUGAAGAGGGUCUUCGGAUUGUAAAGCACUUUAAGUUGGGAGGCGUUACCAACAGAAUAAGCACCGGCUAACUUCGUGCCAGCAGCCGCGGUAAUUC